UACGUAGGGUGCAAGCGUUAAUCGGAAUUACUGGGCGUAAAGCGUGCGCAGGCGGUUAUGUAAGACAGAUGUGAAAUGCCCGGGCUUAACCUGGGAACUGCAUUUGUGACUGCAUGGCUAGAGUUUGGCAGAGGGGGGUAGAAUUCCACGUGUAGCAGUGAAAUGCGUAGAUAUGUGGAGGAACGACCGAUGGCGCAAGGGCAGCCCCCUGGGUCGAAGACUGACGC
rnacentral:rRNA from 1 species